UACGGGGGGGGCAAGCGUUGUUCGGAAUUACUGGGCGUAAAGGGCUCGUAGGCGGCCAAGUAAGUCAGGCGUGAAAUCCCUCGGCUUAACCGGGGAACUGCGUCUGAUACUGGAUGGCUUGAGAUUGGGAGAGGGAUGCGGAAUUCCAGGUGUAGCGGUGAAAUGCGUAGAUAUCUGGAGGAACACCGGUGGCGAAGGCGACAUCCUGGACCAACACUGACGCUGAGGAGCGAAAGCCAGGGGAGCAAACGGG
rnacentral:rRNA from 1 species